AUUGAACGCUGGCGGCAUGCUUUACACAUGCAAGUCGAACGGCAGCGCGGGCUUCGGCCUGGCGGCGAGUGGCGAACGGGUGAGUAAUGCAUCGGAACGUGCCCAGUAGUGGGGGAUAGCCCGGCGAAAGCCGGAUUAAUACCGCAUACGACCUGAGGGUGAAAGCGGGGGACCGAAAGGCCUCGCGCUAUUGGAGCGGCCGAUGUCGGAUUAGCUAGUUGGUGGGGUAAAGGCUUACCAAGGCGACGAUCCGUAGCUGGUCUGAGAGGACGACCAGCCAAACGGGGCUGGGAAACGGCCCCAACCCCCUAGGGGGGGCAGCGGGGGGGAAUUUUGGCAAAGGGGGGAAACCCUGACCCACCCAGGCGGGGGGGGGGAAGAAGGCCUCCGGGUUGAAAACCGUUUUUGUUGGGGAAAAAACCCUUUGGGUUAAUACCCCGGGGGGAUGAGGGUCCCGGAAGAAAAAGCACCGGCUAAUUACGU
rnacentral:rRNA from 1 species